rnacentral:tRNA from 1 species
UGUAGCUCAGUGGUAGGGCACUUGCCUAGCAUGCAUGCAAUCCUGGUUUCAAUCCCCAGCA